UGCCCGAUGCCCGAUUAGAUGAACGCAGUUUCUUUACUUCCUAGGCCUAAGAUUGCUCUCCCCUCUUCCCGACGUGAGAAUCUCGGAGGACUCUGUUGGAGAGAGCACUGAUUGAUUUUCAGAAAGGGCGUUCUCCAAGGAAGCGCGGAACCCGAAUUGUGGGUCAGAGGCAGUGGUGAGGCUACAAGCAAUAGUCAGAGGGAGGGAAGUGAUUCUACAAGCAGCCAUAACACUAAGGGUGCAUGGACGUGUGAGGGCACUGAGAGGAUGUCUCCAAAAGGGAAGGCUAUUCAGAAAUUGUUGGAUGAUUAUUGCAGACAAGCUGCUGAUCCUGUUAAGCCAACUUUAGGAAGGAUGGUGUACAUGUGACAUUCCAGGAACUGUGGGUGACGUUAAAACACAGAUACAAAUGAAGCAUCAAGAGGGAGAGAUCAAUGGCUUAUCAGAUUCACUAAUGUUUUCCAACAUUUGAGGAUGCCUCGGUAGGGAAGGCUGUUCAGAAGUUAUUAGAUGACUAUCACAAACAAGCUACUGAUCCUGUUAAGCAAGCUGAGGAAGGAAUAUGUACCCGUGUGACGUUCUAGGAGCUGUGGAUGAAGUUAAAGCAAAGAUACAAAUGAAGCAAGAUGCAAUCAUCAAGAGAUAGGGGGAGCACUGACUUAUUCUCUCUCAGCUCAGUGCUUGAUACUCAAGUUCAACAUGUCCUAUCGAAGUCAAGUAUCUAAAGCCAAUAAUUGCACAUCGGUUGAAGGCCAAAAUAGGGAUAAUCCUUCGUUU